GACGAACCGUGCGAACGUUGUUCGGAAUAACUGGGCUUAAAGGGCGCGUAGGCGGGCUAUCAAGUCUGGGGUGAAAUCCCGCGGCUCAACCGUGGAACUGCCUCAGAUACUGACGGCCUAGAGGAAGGUAGGGGCAUGCGGAACUAACGGUGGAGCGGUGAAAUGCGUUGAUAUCGUUAGGAACUCCGGUGGCGAAAGCGGCGUGCUGGACCUUUUCUGACGCUGAGAAGCGAAAGCAUGGGGAGCGAACAGG
rnacentral:rRNA from 1 species